CCUACGGGAGGCAGCAGUGAGGAAUAUUGGUCAAUGGGCGCGAGUCUGAACCAGCCAAGUAGCGUGAAGGAUGACUGCCCUACGGGUUGUAAACUUCUUUUAUAAAGGAAUAAAGUGAGGCACGUGUGCCUUUUUGUAUGUACUUUAUGAAUAAGGAUCGACUAACUCCGUGCCAGCAGCCGCGGUAAUACGGAGGAUCCGAGCGUUAUCCGGAUUUAUUGGGUUUAAAGGGAGCGUAGAUGGGUUGUUAAGUCAGUUGUGAAAGUUUGCGGCUCAACCGUAAAAUUGCAAUUGAUACUGGCAGUCUUGAGUGCAGAUGGGGUAGGCGGAAUUCGUGGUGUAGCGGUGAAAUGCUUAGAUAUCACGAAGAACUCCGAUUGCGAAGGCAGGUUACUAAGCUGCAACUGACAUUGAUGCUCGAAAGUGUGGGUAUCAAACAGGAUUAGAUACCCUUGUAGUC
rnacentral:rRNA from 1 species